GCGUCGAUGGUUUAGUGGUAGAAUACGGCGUUGCCAUCGCCGUGACCAGGGUUCAAUUGUAUGUUCAAUUCCCGGUCGACGCA
rnacentral:tRNA from 1 species